rnacentral:rRNA from 1 species
GACGAACCGUGCGAACGUUGUUCGGAAUCACUGGGCUUAAAGGGCGCGUAGGCGGCUUGGCAAGUCAGGGGUGAAAUCUUUCGGCUCAACCGGAAAAGUGCCUCUGAUACUGCCAGGCUCGAGGGAGGUAGGGGCAAGUGGAACUUCCGGUGGAGCGGUGAAAUGCGUUGAUAUCGGAAGGAACGCCGGUGGCGAAAGCGACUUGCUGGCCCUCUUCUGACGCUGAGGCGCGAAAGCUAGGGGAGCAAACGGG